rnacentral:lncRNA from 1 species
UUGCAGAUGUUUCAUAUUUUUCUUUGGUCAUUGUUUUAUGAUGCAUUUAAUCAUAAUCAGAUUUAUUGAAAGUAACAAAAAUUAAACAGUCUCUUCAACAAAGAGAGGGCAGAAUAUCAUGCUAGCUUGAAUUUGGCUUUGGGAGACUUAGGGUGUAACGUAAGGUGUAGUAUUAGUGCCAUUUCAGAGUAACAAAACCAAUAGAAGCAAAGUGAAAAAAAGUAAUUGAAACAUCUUAAUUUAUCACCAACUUAUUUUUUUCUUUCAUUGUUUUUAUAUGUAAGCAAAUCCCUGAAAAUGUGUCUACUGAGGUUAGAAAGAUGAUUUAUUAAAAAUAAAUAAAUUGAAAACCACUGGUAUUUUUUUGUGGUGUAAAUUGAACAAGAUGUGCUUCCACCUCUCAUAUUACACAUAUUACAUCUAAUGGCACUACUGAAAAUUCAAUUGUCUAAUGAAGAUUGUACAGUUAAUGUACUUACUGUGUGAUAAUGACAAUGUGGUUAUUUUAAGAUGUUCUUUUUCUGCACAAUUCUAGAAAGACAACUAUCUCCAAAAAUGAGAAAAAAAGAGAAUAAUUGCAAACAGAUAAGCCAACAGAAGACAUCUACAGCUAAUGUGUACUGAAGAGCACAUUUUCCUGCUGUGUGCCAAAGACCCUGAACUCUGAGCCUGGACGUGCAGCUUUACAAGUCAGAUCUACCUCCUGAUGACCAGCACUGAGCAUACAACAUGUUGUGAGAUUCUUCCUGGAGGAGUCCUGUGUUGCCUGUUACGAGGGCAGGUAGAUUUUACAAGCACAGUAUAGGUAAAGUGUGCCAGGGUCAUGGAAGUGUUGUGGAUGCCAGACCAUUUCAUGGAAUGCUCAUAUCUGGUAUGGCAAAUGUAUGGACACUUUGCUCUGCAUUUCAUGCUCCGUAUUUUAGGUAUAUAACUGUGCACUGAUUACAAGAUAUGCAAGCCACAAUUGUGUGUUUGUCCAUACAGUGGAACUGCACUAUGGCCUAUCCCAGGUCUGGCCCUGCACAACACCCCAGUACUGAGUGAGACAGACAACAAGUUCAAGGAAAAAUUAAGGACAAAAAGGAAAUCAUGUGGAAACAAUUUUUGAAAUAAAUUAAAAUUCUUAGAGUGGUGGACUAAUACA